ACGCCUAAUACAUGCAAGUCGAACGAAGUAGCAAUACUUAGUGGCAGACGGGUGAGUAACAUGUGGGUAUCUUCCCUUUGGUGAGGAAUAACACGAGGAAACUUGUGCUAAUACCUCAUAAGUCUUUACGGAGAAAGCUUUAUGCGCCAAUGGAUGAGCCCGCACUUGAUUAGUUUGUUGGUGGGGUAAUGGCCUACCAAGACAAUGAUCAAUAGCUGAUUUGAGAGGAUGAUCAGCCACAUUGGGACUGAGACACGGCCCAAACUUCUACGGAAGGCAGCAGUAGGGAAUCUUGCACAAUGGAGGAAACUCUGAUGCAGCGAUGCCGCGUGAGUGAAGAAGGCCUUUGGGUUGUAAAGCUCUUUCGUCGGGGAAGAAAAUGACUGUACCCGAAUAAGAAGGUCCGGCUAACUUCGUGCCAGCAGCCGCGGUAAUACGAAGGGACCUAGCGUAGUUCGGAAUUACUGGGCUUAAAGAGUUCGUAGGUGGUUAAAAAAGUUGGUGGUGAAAUCCCAGAGCUUAACUCUGGAACUGCCAUCAAAACUUUUUAGCUAGAGUAUGAUAGAGGAAAGCAGAAUUUCUAGUGUAGAGGUGAAAUUCGUAGAUAUUAGAAAGAAUACCAAUUGCGAAGGCAGCUUUCUGGAUCAUUACUGACACUGAGGAACGAAAGCAUGGGUAGCGAAGAGGAUUAGAUACCCUCGUAGUCCAUGCCGUAAACGAUGUGUGUUAGACGUUGGAAAUUUGUUUUCAGUGUCGCAGCGAAAGCAAUAAACACACCGCCUGGGGAGUACGACC
rnacentral:rRNA from 1 species